UUCUUACUUUUCUAAUGUGACUACUAGAAAGUUUUAAAUUACACAUGUGAUACACAUUAUAUUUUCAUUCUUCAGCGCUGCUCUUGGACAUUUUAUUAAGUGGAUAUUUUUAAAUAGACCAAAAUUUAUACUAUUAAGUAUGGUGUUUACCUCUAACUGCUAUAAAGAACAUUUAUUGAUCUUUGGUUCAAUGUAAAUAACUGUGAACCUUUAUCAGUGUAUCAAAUUUAAAACUUUUUUGAAAUUAGUAAACUUGGAAGUAUUAGACAUUCAUUAACCUGAAAUCAAAUAAAACUUGAGGUAUACUCUGUAGUAGUCACUGAAUUUGAAAAUCACUGAUAAACAUAAAGACAAACAGGAAGAUACACCACAGACUUUUGGUAACUAAACAGAAAUAAAGGGAAGUAUGUAAUUACAGUGUCACAAUGGGAAAAGGCUGUGUUCAUUGGUUGUCAUAAUGAGAAAUCUCCGUAGAGUCUAGGGCACAAGUAUAUAACAUAGCCACUCUCUAGGUAUCAGCCCAUGUUUAAUGGGUCCAGUUUCAGAUCCUGUUCUAAAGAGGAAUCCGUCACUCAGGGAGAAGCUUCUUACCCUUGUUUUACUGCUGGCUUGGCACAGUGAAUACCACAAGGGUGCGUCAGAGAACGAGGUUAUUCUCUCAAGGGAGAAUUUCUGUACCAGGUGACUCCUUGCAGGAAGUGAAAGAAGAAUUUUAGGAUCCUUAUGAGGCUCAGAUGGGUACAACACAGCCUUCUUGUGCAAAGGACCACUAGACAACGCUAGAGUAUUCUGCUUAGGGGCUGUUUUAAACAGUGAAAUCAACAAAAAACACCAAAAUGUGAAAACUAUGGUUUCCCAAAGGAUGUUGCUUAUGGUAUCAGAGCUGAAACAGGAAGGCAGUGCGUCACCUUGUCAGCUGGGAAUGUGUGGUCAGGACUCAAAAUUUGUAUUGCUCUUUAUGAGUCCACAGAUGACAGCAAGUGUG